CUGAACUCGGGUUAAGGAACUCUGCAAAUUGAUACCGUAACUUCGGAAGAAGGUAUGCCUUCGACGGUGUAGGGAUUUACUCCCGAAGCUGUUGAAGGUCGCAGGUAAUCGGUGGCUGCGACUGUUUAUCAAAAACACAGGACUCUGCGAACACGCAAGUGGAAGUAUAGGGUCUGACGCCUGCCCGGUGCCGGAAGGUUAAUUGAUGGGGUUAGCCGCAAGGCGAAGCUCUUGAUCGAAGCCCCGGUAAACGGCGGCCGUAACAAUAACGGUCCUAAGGUAGCGAAAUUCCUUGUCGGGUAAGUUCCGACCUGCACGAAUGGCGUAACGCUGGCCACACUGUCUCGACCCGAGACUCAGUGAAGUUGAAAUCGCUGUGAAGAUGCGGCGUUCCCGCGGCAAGACGGAAAGACCCCGUGAACCUUCACUACAGCUUUACACUGAACUUUGAACCUUUCUGUGUAGGAUAGGUGGGAGGCUAUGAAACUUGGGCGCUAGCUCGAGUGGAGCCAACCUUGAAAUACCACCCUGGGAUGUUUGAAGUUCUAACCUUGGUCCGUAAUCCGGAUUGGGGACAGUGUAUGGUGGGUAGUUUGACUGGGGCGGUCUCCUCCCAAAGAGUAACGGAGGAGUGCAAUGGUACGCUCAGCGCGGUCGGUCAUCGCGCUCUAGAGUGCAAAGGCAUAAGCGUGCUUAACUGUGAGACAGACACGUCGAACAGGUACGAAAGUAGGUCUUAGUGAUCCGGUGGUUCUGUAUGGAAGGGCCAUCGCUCAACGGAUAAAAGGUACUCCGGGGAUAACAGGCUUAUUCCUCCCAAGAGUCCACAUCGACGGAGGAGUUUGGCACCUCGAUGUCGGCUCAUCACAUCCUGGGGCUGUAGCAGGUCCCAAGGGUAUGGCUGUUCGCCAUUUAAAGUGGUACCGAGCUGGGUUCAGAACGUCGUGAGACAGUUCGGUCCCUAUCUGCCGUGGGCGUUGGAAACUUGAGGGUGAGCUGUCCUUAGUACGAGAGGACCGGGAUGGACGUAUCUCUGGUGUUCCGGUUGUCACGCCAGUGGCACUGUCGGGUAGCUAUAUACGGACGGGAUAAGCGCUGAAAGCAUCUAAGCGCGAAGCCCCCCCCACGAUUAGGUUUCCCUGGGAACUCGAUUCCCCUAAAGGGCCGUCGGAGACUACGACGUUGAUAGGCUGGGUGUGUAAGUGCAGCAAUGCAUUGAGCUAACCAGUACUAAUUGCCCGUGAGGCUUGACCG
rnacentral:rRNA from 1 species